CUCAACACCUACGGAGACAUCAAGAUUAAAAUUCCCAGUCCUUCUCCAAAAUAAGACAUUAUCUGUUGUGAUGGCCAUGAAACUGAUAACAACUGUAAUAAUCAUCAUGGCUUUGGUGUGGCUGCAAGCAGCAGUUGUUGACGGGUGCGUUCAAAACGAUGACGUGUGUUCCGCUUACGAUUUCCCGUGUUGCUCAAAUUCGCUAUGCGUGAAAGUUCCUAGUAGGUAUAAUAGAUGCAAGGACAAAGGGGACAUCUGCUCGACAGGGCCUGGAGGUGUCAAGACUUGUCUACAGCCUGCAUUUUAACGUGAAAGGAAAUUAUCAAUCAAGGGCACUACUUCAUGGAGAUUUCAAAGUGUUUCAGUUAAACAAGCUGUCACGACAACUCUGAAAUGCCGAUUUGAUUGUCCCCUGAAGUUGUGAACCUAUAUUUAUUGUUCUACUGAAGAUUGAUCAGUAAACUGAAAGUUAAUCUUUC